ACUCCAUGAAGUCGGAAUCGCUAGUAAUCGCAAAUCAGAAUGUUGCGGUGAAUACGUUCCCGGGCCUUGUACACACCGCCCGUCACACCAUGGGAGUGGGCUGCAAAAGAAGCAGGUAGUUUAACCUUCGGGAGGACGCUUGCCACUUUGUGGUUCAUGACUGGGGUGAAGUCGUAACAAGGUAGCGCUAGGGGAACCUGGCGCUGGAUCACCUCCUUACACGA
rnacentral:rRNA from 1 species